CAAUAGCGUAUAUUAAAGUUGUUGCAGUUAAAAAGCUCGUAGUUGGAUUUCUGGUAGGAGUGACCGUUCCGAACUUGAUUGUUCGUGUAUUGUGUUUUCUCCAGCCAUCCUUGUGGAGAACUUUUCUUGCAUUAAUUUGUAGGGAUUGGGACCCGCAUCGUUUACUGUGAAAAAAUUAGAGUGUUUAAAGCAGGCAAUCGCUUGAAUACAUUAGCAUGGAAUAAUAAGAUAGGACUUUGGUAUUAUUUUGUUGGUUUGCAUACCAAAUUAAUGAUCAACAGGAACAGUUUGAGGAUAUUCGUAUGAACAUGUCAGAGGUGAAAUUCUUGGAUUUUGAUCAGACGAACUACUGCGAAAGCAUUUAUCAAGGAUGUUUUCAUUAA
rnacentral:rRNA from 1 species